CACCGCUAUAUGUACACCGCUA
rnacentral:siRNA from 1 species